rnacentral:rRNA from 1 species
AGAACGCAGCAAGAUGUGAGACGUAACUGGAAUUGCAGGACUUGUGACAGUUUAUUCUUCGAAUGCAAAUCGCGGCGUUGGGUUAACCGACGCCACGCCUGGUUGAGGGUCAGUUGAAUUAAACAAAUCAUAGUCGCGCAAUGAUUAUGGAUUGUCUGAACAGUGCGUCAAGCACUGGCAGAUGAAGUACAGACCCCAGACGUUGAGUGUCAUGCGUACCGCUGCUGGUGCGAUUGACGUUAUAUGGGACUUGUGCCGCAGUUGCACAGUAAACAGUCUCAUGCACGUCCGAUCGGCAAGUCGGCCUCGCUGCACAACCGCUGUUAGCUAUAGCGGUAAGCGAUAUAGCGUCUGUGUAUAAAACGACGUUUGACAACAAGCGAUCGAUCGGUCAAUUGCUCGACUAAUCGUCGCACAAUCGUCGGAUACUUUUUCUUUUGACCUCAGCUCAGACGAGAUUACCCGCUGAACUUAAGCAUAU